rnacentral:tRNA from 1 species
GGGGAUUUAGCUCAGUGGUAGAGCGCUUGCCUAGCAAGCGCAAGGCCAGGGUUCAGUCCCCA